AUAAGGUUAAGUGAAUAAGGGCGCACGGUGGAUGCCUUGGCACUAGGAGCCGAUGAAGGACGGGACUAACACCGAUAUGCUUUGGGGAGCUGUACGUAAGCUAUGAUCCAGAGAUUUCCGAAUGGGGAAACCCAACAUCUUUUAUAGGAUGUUACGUUUGCGUGAAUACAUAGCGCAUUCGAGGUAGACGCAGAGAACUGAAACAUCUAAGUACCUGCAGGAAGAGAAAGAAAAUUCGAUUCCCUGAGUAGCGGCGAGCGAAACGGGAAAAGCCCAAACCAAUGAGCUUGCUCAUUGGGGUUGUAGGACUCCAAUAUGGUAGUUCUUUCAGAUAAUCGAAUGACUUGGAAAAGUCAGUCAAAGAGGGUAAAAACCCCGUAGAUGAAAUUUGGAAGGCACCUAGGAGGAUCCUGAGUACGGCGGAACACGAGGAAUUCCGUCGGAAUCCGGGAGGACCAUCUCCCAAGGCUAAAUACUCCCUAGUGACCGAUAGUGAACCAGUACCGUGAGGGAAAGGUGAAAAGCACCCCGGAAGGGGAGUGAAAUAGAACCUGAAACCGUGUGCCUACAACAAGUCAAAGCCCGUUAAUGGGUGAUGGCGUGCCUUUUGUAGAAUGAACCGGCGAGUUACGAUUGCAUGCGAGGUUAAGUCGAAGAGACGGAGCCGCAGCGAAAGCGAGUCUGAAUAGGGCGUUUGAGUAUGUAGUCGUAGACCCGAAACCAUGUGAUCUACCCAUGUCCAGGUUGAAGGUGCGGUAAAACGCACUGGAGGACCGAACCCACGUACGUUGAAAAGUGCGGGGAUGAGGUGUGGGUAGCGGAGAAAUUCCAAACGAACUUGGAGAUAGCUGGUUCUCUCCGAAAUAGCUUUAGGGCUAGCCUCGGAUUUGAGAAUGAUGGAGGUAGAGCACUGUUUGGACUAGGGGCCCAUCUCGGGUUACCGAAUUCAGAUAAACUCCGAAUGCCAUUCAUUCAUAUCCGGGAGUCAGACUGUGAGUGAUAAGAUCCAUAGUCGAAAGGGAAACAGCCCAGACCACCAGCUAAGGUCCCAAAAUAUAUGUUAAGUGGAAAAGGAUGUGGGGUUGCACAGACAACUAGGAUGUUGGCUCAGAAGCAGCCACCAUUUAAAGAGUGCGUAAUAGCUCACUAGUCGAGUGACCCUGCGCCGAAAAUGUACCGGGGCUAAACAUAUUACCGAAGCUGUGGAGUACACCAUUAGGUGUAUUGGUAGGAGAGCGUUCUAAGGGCGUUGAAGGCAGAUCGUGAGGACUGCUGGAGCGCUUAGAAGUGAGAAUGCCGGUAUGAGUAGCGAAAGACAGGUGAGAAUCCUGUCCACCGAAUGACUAAGGUUUCCUGGGGAAGGCUCGUCCGCCCAGGGUUAGUCGGGACCUAAGCCGAGGCCGACAGGCGUAGGCGAUGGACAACAGGUUGAUAUUCCUGUACUCGUUGUUUUUGUUUGAGCAAUGGAGGGACGCAGGAGGCUAAGGAAUGCAGACGAUUGGAAAUGUCUGUCCAAGCAGUAAGUCUUGAUAGGAGUCAAAUGCUUCUGUCUACACGGAUAAGCUGUGAUGGGGAGGGAAAUAAUAGUACCGAAGUUCCUGAUGUCACACUGCCAAGAAAAGCUUCUAGUGAGAAAACAAUGACCCGUACCGCAAACCGACACAGGUAGUCGAGGAGAGAAUCCUAAGGUGAGCGAGAGAACUCUCGUUAAGGAACUCGGCAAAAUGACCCCGUAACUUCGGGAGAAGGGGUGCUGAUCUUUGAUCAGCCGCAGUGAAUAGGCCCAAGCGACUGUUUAUCAAAAACACAGGUCUCUGCAAAAUCGUAAGAUGAAGUAUAGGGGCUGACGCCUGCCCGGUGCUGGAAGGUUAAGAGGAGUGCUUAGCGUAAGCGAAGGUACGAAUUGAAGCCCCAGUAAACGGCGGCCGUAACUAUAACGGUCCUAAGGUAGCGAAAUUCCUUGUCGGGUAAGUUCCGACCCGCACGAAAGGCGUAACGAUUUGGGCACUGUCUCAACGAGAGACUCGGUGAAAUUUUAGUACCUGUGAAGAUGCAGGUUACCCGCGACAGGACGGAAAGACCCCAUGGAGCUUUACUGUAGUUUGAUAUUGAGUGUCUGUACCGCAUGUACAGGAUAGGUAGGAGCCGUAGAAAUCGGAACGCUAGUUUCGAUGGAGGCGCUGGUGGGAUACUACCCCUGCGUUAUGGCCACUCUAACCCGCACCACUGAUCGUGGUGGGAGACAGUGUCAGAUGGGCAGUUUGACUGGGGCGGUCGCCUCCUAAAAGGUAACGGAGGCGCCCAAAGGUUCCCUCAGAAUGGUUGGAAAUCAUUCGAAGAGUGUAAAGGCAGAAGGGAGCUUGACUGCGAGACCAACAAGUCGAGCAGGGACGAAAGUCGGGCUUAGUGAUCCGGUGGUUCCGCAUGGAAGGGCCAUCGCUCAACGGAUAAAAGCUACCCUGGGGAUAACAGGCUUAUCUCCCCCAAGAGUCCACAUCGACGGGGAGGUUUGGCACCUCGAUGUCGGCUCGUCGCAUCCUGGGGCUGUAGUCGGUCCCAAGGGUUGGGCUGUUCGCCCAUUAAAGCGGCACGCGAGCUGGGUUCAGAACGUCGUGAGACAGUUCGGUCCCUAUCCGUCGCGGGCGUUGGAAAUUUGAGAGGAGCUGUCCUUAGUACGAGAGGACCGGGAUGGACUUACCGCUGGUGUACCAGUUGUUCUGCCAAGGGCAUUGCUGGGUAGCUAUGUAGGGAAGGGAUAAACGCUGAAAGCAUCUAAGUGUGAAGCCCACCUCAAGAUGAGAUUUCCCAUUUCUUUAAGAAAGUAAGAUCCCUGAGAGAUGAUCAGGUAGAUAGGUCAGGAGUGGAAGGCCAGUGAUGGUUGGAGCGGACUGAUACUAAUCGAUCGAGGACUUAACCAAA
rnacentral:rRNA from 5 species